GCGGCGAGCACCGUUGGCAGAGCACCUGCCUUUUAAGCAGGGUGUCCGGGGUUCGAAUCCCCGACGAGGCACCA
rnacentral:tRNA from 1 species